CUCGGGAUCCCAGACCUUUGGCCAACUCCGAGGGAGCAGCGAGGCUUGGGUCAGGCCAACCCGGCCCCCAGCGCUCACCCCCCAAGGCUGCCGUGCACGUGAAAGGAGCUCAGGAAUACGUGUCCCCAGGCUGUGGCCGGGCACCAGGAGGCCUCCCUUGAACCCCCUUUUGAAAGGACACCCCCAAGUGCUCCUGACCGAUGCAGCGCCAAGGUGGCACCAGGCUGGAGACAGAAUCAGGCAGCCCGGGGAGGGGGGGCCAGGCCCUGAGCUGCGGACCUCUGCGCAGCGACUUCACGUCUCUGGGCCUCGACUUCCCCGCCUGGGUUAGUACGUCUGGAGCAAAGGCAGCAUUCGCACCCGGAGCUUCCAAGACACCCUUCCUACACCCAAGAAGUGGGCACCGAAGAGGAGGCCGCUUUAGAACACUCUCGAACUCCAACACGAACGCAAAAGCCCGCUGUCCUCGAGGCCGACCCCCGGACCUUGGAGAGCUGAGAGCGCACGUCAGACCCCGCUGCCGUGACCUCGGGCAGUCACUCCCCCCGCGCCGGACUCAGUUUCCCCACCUGUAA
rnacentral:lncRNA from 1 species